rnacentral:lncRNA from 1 species
CAUAUUUUCACCCAGCCCUAUAUAGUACCGUGUCUUUGGUGUGGGGUCUUCUCUACUGCACCUCAUAGAACUCCCCACCAUGUAUGGAGCUCCAUCCUUCAAAACGGCUGAGUACAGAACUGGGAAAGUGUCAUGGAGAAGGUGACUCAGAGGCCUGACCCCACUGAUCUACCAACCCACCCAGCCCAGGUAACUUCUCACCCACUAGCCUCCUCGACCCAAACAGCAAGAACCAUGAAUGGUAACAGCAACGGGCUCUGGGAAGAACAACACCCAGAAGACAAGUGAUUGCCAGAUGUGCCAUCCUGCUGGUUCCAAGGAUUACAUCUUUCUAUGGUUUCCCUUUGGUUAUCAUAAAACCCUGUAAGUAGGCACAAGGCCAACUUUAAUAUUCUUGCUUGUCAGGUUCCAUAUGCAAACCUGGAGCCUGAAAGUCUGAAGUCCUGCUUGCCUCGGCUGAAGUCUUCCACCCCGUGCCUGUGUUAUCCAUUGUCCCUGAUCACCCAGCAGAGCUACCCCAGACAAAUCCCUCACCCAACCCUGUCAUCUUAACUGUUCUUAUGAUAAUGUAAAUACCUCUCACCCAACCCCACCACUGUAAGUGAACUUACUCUGCAACACCCCCACCCCCCAAAAAACUACCCAAACUCAUAAAGCCAACUCCUAGCCCAUUGCCCUUUGUUAAUGCUCUUUUUGGCCUUAGCCCACCUGCACCCAGGUGAAUAAACAGCCAUGUUGCUCACACAAAGCCUUUGUGAAAGAUCUCUUUAUUAAAUGCACUUAAUAUUCGGUACUAUUAGACUCAAAUAACAUUACUCAUCCUUACUUGAGGAUGAGGAAGUUGAGAUUCAGUUUGAUGGAUGGCCUAGUCCUACCUCACUCACAAUUAUGAGGACCCAGGUUUCCUGAUACCUCAUCCACUGGGAUUAAGAAGUCUAUGAACAAUCUUUUCCUACCACCUGAUCUUAAGCUAUCCAAAAUAACUGACAUGGUAUAAGGCAUUCAGUAUAUUUACCAAUAAAAUUUAUAUAUAUAUAUAUAUAUAUACAUACACACACACCACACACACACACACACACAUGCUAAAAUACUGUAACUUCAGUGGAAUUAGUACUAAACUGUAGGUCAGCAGAAGCCCUAAAUUUACUCUAAUCAGGUUGAUAAUGGAAAAGUCACUGUUCUACUCUAGGCCUCAGUUCCCUUACCCAAAAAUGGAGAUAAUAUUGGUAACCUAUCUCAUAAAGUUACAAAUGUUUAAGAAGAUGGCGCAGUGGAAAAAUGCAGUAAGUCCUAGCUACUGCUAUCGUUAGAUCACACACGGAGUUAAAUAUGGUACCAGGGGGCCACCAACCACCUCUUAGCCUUCUUUGCAUCCCUAACUCCCAACAUAAUGCCUGGCAUAUUGUCGAUGCUCAUUUCAAGUUUAUUCAAUAAAUGAAGUGGCUGAGUGGCUAUUCUGUGCCCGUACCGAAAGUCCCUAAUUGCAUGAUAAGGUCCUGAGAGGAAGAUGCUACCUUGUUCUUUUCCACCACUGGGGAUAUUGGUUGAACACAGAUGAUGCUAACAAAUCCCUGCUGAUUUUUACUGGAAUGAAAUCCUCAGUAUCAUCCACACAAAGCUGCCUUGAGUUUGGCAGUACCUU